GAAUGUGACGAAAGAAAAAAAAGUCAAGCGGAUGUCUUUCAAAAAGCUGUUUUGUUCUUGCAUGUGCGUGCAUAAUUUAGAGGUGAGUGGAGCUGGAAUGGACAAGCUUUGCUAAUCACUACACAACACACUGUACAGCUACAAUCAGGGUCACAAGUUCAGCUCAGCAAACGGGUCAAAGGUUACCAGCAGGUCAAAUACAAAACUCCCACAAGGCGGUAUCCAAGUCAAACAUCAAAUGGACAGUAGAUCAUUCUGAAAACCCAAUCGCCCAAGCCGACCUUGUCGAUGUGCAGCUUUCGUCAAACUCCACAACUCAUGCUGUCCAGAGACCAAGCACUCUGCAAAUUGUUUUUUAGACACUGCCACCCAGCUCCCAAGCUGCUCGGCAAUUGCACCAAGUUGUUCAAAGACGAGCUGUAGUCUCUACAAAGGUCACUGAUGGUCAGUCUCCCUCUACAAAUGCAGCAGAUACAGGUAGUUCUGCAACAGCAGCAACUGCCGCAACAAGUUGUGCGUGACACACCAUACUGUGCGAGCUCGUAAUCAAGGCUGAGGAUUCCUUGUGUUACCACAGUUUAGGCAGCGAGGAGUGUCAUUGCCUCAAGUGCUAUGUCGGGAGGUGUCAAGGAUGUCAAGUCCUUCCACAAAGACUGUUGUAGUGCCCUUGCCAUUUGGAAAGGCACCCAAUAUUGCUAAGAUGAUCAGGGAUUCAAGUUUGUCAGACAACUGUAGACAGUGUGUCUCCAAGUGGAUCCAAGAGCUAGAGCGGAUGAGCAUAAGGCAUGCCUCGCCUGUAUUGCUUCCUUCCAUCAGCAACACUGCAGUACCAAUCUGGUGUACGGCCAUGACCUCUUCACAGCUGGGUCUCUCUACCAUGCCUCUUAACCCUAAAAAGACUGGGGGUCUCCUAUAAUUUCCAUUUGAAAAAAAAAGCAAAAAAAAAAAGGUUGCGAAACAAAGCAAUAAAUGAGAAAUUUUAGACACAUUCAAAGUUAUAAAGGAAACUUUUUGGUACUUAUUCAAUUCAGAUUCCACAAAGAGACCCUUUCCAAAAAGAAAUUAGCACAUGAAGGCUUUUUUAAAAAUAGAUUUACAGCCACAUUCUAAUUCUGUGCAUUCUGUAAGUUUAAUAGUAUGAUUGAAAAUAAGUGUGAAUUAUUUUGGAACAAAUGAAAUAUACAAUUUUGUAGAUUACGUCAUGAGUGACGUGUAUGAUGAUUCUCUUUUAAAAUCACUUCAAAACAGCAAAGAUAUUUAGGGGGCGUUUAGCCCUCGCUGCCGUCUUUCCAAAAAUACCCCAGUCUUAUUAGAGUUAACCUGUUGGUAAGAGAAGACCCUUCAGUAAUGGAUUGAGUAGCAUCUACUGCUAUCGCUGGCUGGUUGGAGAUGCCCUGAGGAGAGUGGAGAUAGCCUACAAGGAGACCAGGAAUCUUGGGAACAUCCUUUACACCUUUGACGACUACCUUAAGGAACUGCUUCAGAUCAUCCAGAGGUACAUGUAUGUAGAAUAAGGUUAUUACGAGGGAUGUUAAAUGGCGGUAGGAUAAAUCAUCCCACACAUUGCCAUGGGACUUUAAGGGGGACGAAACCAAUGCGGUCUUAUCAUUUUCUUUGUCAAUGGGGAAAUUAGUGCUUGGCAGGCGGGUGCCUGUCUUACAUUUUGAGUGGUGGACGGUUUCAACGAGCACUACCACUGAAGUGGCAACACUUAAUUUUUUCUCGCCUGCAUAGCAGAGUGAGACUAUAGGCACAUCUUUUCCUAAGGUGCCAGAAUUGGCCUCAACAUUGAAAACCAAGGUUAAGUUUUUCGAAAUGUCAUCAUAACUUUAAAAGUAU
rnacentral:lncRNA from 1 species